GUAAUAAGAGAAAAAGGGGACUAGCUCUUGGCUCAAGGGUAUUGUAAAUGAAUAAUUAAAACUUAACUUUUAAUAUAAAAAUAUUAAAAGUUAAGUUUUAAUUAUUCACUUACAAUACCCUUGGGCCAAAAGCUAGUCCUCUUUUUCUCUUAUUC